AUUGAACGCUGGCGGCAGGCCUAACACAUGCAAGUCGAGCGGAUGAAGGGAGCUUGCUCCUGGAUUCAGCGGCGGACGGGUGAGUAAUGCCUAGGAAUCUGCCUGGUAGUGGGGGAUAACGUCCGGAAACGGGCGCUAAUACCGCAUACGUCCUGAGGGAGAAAGUGGGGGAUCUUCGGACCUCACGCUAUCAGAUGAGCCUAGGUCGGAUUAGCUAGUUGGUGGUGUAAAGGCCUACCAAGGCGACGAUCCGUAACUGGUCUGAGAGGAUGAUCAGUCACACUGGAACUGAGACACGGUCCAGACUCCUACGGGAGGCAGCAGUGGGGAAUAUUGGACAAUGGGCGAAAGCCUGAUCCAGCCAUGCCGCGUGUGUGAAGAAGGUCUUCGGAUUGUAAAGCACUUUAAGUUGGGAGGAAGGGCAGUAAGUUAAUACCUUGCUGUUUUGACGUUACCAACAGAAUAAGCACCGGCUAACUUCGUG
rnacentral:rRNA from 1 species